rnacentral:misc_RNA from 1 species
GAAGUGCGAAAAGUGUCACGACUUGCAGAUGCCACAGAGCUGACAAGUUUCUGAAUGCAAAUGGCGGCCGCGCAAACGGCCACGUAUUGCAGAGUGUAGCUGUUCAUACUCAUCAUCCCCCACAACACUAUACGUCUGGGUGUGGCGCUUGGGAUCUGCGCUUGCGUCACCGCGAGCGUGAAAACAAGGAGUUCCUCCGGUUGUCCUAGGACGGCUGGAGGCGGCUUCGGACUUAAGUCUCUUAAGGAUGAAGUUGAAAGGCUCCAUUGGUAUCCACCUCUGCAGUGCAGGAGAACCCGCUGAACUUAA